UUUAGAAAAAACUAUACUGUUCAGUUCUUAAUUUGUAUAAUAACAGCAAAUUGCCGAUAAGUAACAAUAUAUACUAUUGUUUAGAAAGUGGUUACAAAAAUUAUGUAAAAAUGAAAUAUUUAUUCAAAGGAAAAUUCGGAUUUAUUGAAGUAAAGUAUUAUGCACAUAUUAAAAAAGUAUUUACAAUUAUUUUUAAAUGAUCUUAGUUUUAGUUUUAAAAUUUAAUUAAAAAUAAUUUAAGCUCCUAAAGAAACAUAAGCUUGUGUCUAAAGAACACAUCUGACUUUUGUAAUCCUCUCAUGCUAGUAUUCCUGCAGCUGCGCUAGACUUAUUUGAUUACAUGCUCGCCUUGGAUCCUAGUAAGCGCUGCACUGCUGAACAGGCUCUUCAGUGCGAGUUCCUCCGAGAUGUGGAACCCUCAAAAAUGCCUCCACCAGAUCUCCCUUUAUGGCAAGAUUGUCAUGAGUUAUGGAGUAAAAAGCGAAGAAGACAGAAGCAGAUGGGCAUGACUGAUGAUGUUUCCACAAUUAAAGCCCCCAGGAAGGACUUGUCUCUGGGCUUGGAUGACAGCAGAACCAACACACCCCAGGGUGUGCUGCCAUCUUCACAGCUGAAAUCUCAGGGCAGCUCAAAUGUGGCACCUGGUGAAAAACAGACAGAUCCAUCAACACCACAACAGGAGUCUUCGAAACCGUUGGGA
rnacentral:sRNA from 1 species